rnacentral:rRNA from 1 species
UUAAGUUAUUAAGGGCGUAUGGUGGAUGCCUUGGCACUAGGAGCCGAUGAAGGACGUGACUAACUGCGAUAUGCUUCGGGGAGUUGUAAGUAAACUAUGAUCCGGAGAUUUCCGAAUGGGGAAACCUAACAGGUUUUACCGCCUGUUAUCACUAAGUGAAUUCAUAGCUUAGUUGAAGGUAGACGUGGGGAACUGAAACAUCUAAGUACCCACAGGAAGAGAAAGAAAUUCGAUUCCCUCAGUAGCGGCGAGCGAACCGGGAAGAGCCCAAACUAAGAAGCUUGCUUCUUAGGGUUGUAGGACUGAACAUUUGAGUUACCAAGAAAUGAAGUAGUUGAAUAAUCUGGGAAGAUUAGCCAAAGAGAGUGAUAGCCUCGUAAGCGAAACUUCGUUUCCUCAGUUCAGGAUCCUGAGUACGGCGGAACACGUGAAACUCCGUCGGAAUCCGGGAGGACCAUCUCCCAAGGCUAAAUACUACCUAGUGACCGAUAGUGAACCAGUACCGUGAGGGAAAGGUGAAAAGCACCCCGGGAGGGGAGUGAAAUAGUUCCUGAAACCAUAUGCCUACAAGUAGUCAGAGCUCGUUAAUGAGUGAUGGCGUGCCUUUUGUAGAAUGAACCGGCGAGUUACGUUAGCGUGCGAGGUUAAGGAGGAAAGUCCGGAGCCGUAGCGAAAGCGAGUCUGAAUAGGGCGAGAUAGUACGUUGACGUAGACCCGAAACCAGGUGACCUACCCAUGUCCAGGUUGAAGGUGCGGUAAAACGCACUGGAGGACCGAACCAGGGCACGUUGAAAAGUGCUUGGAUGACUUGUGGGUAGCGGAGAAAUUCCAAACGAACUUGGAGAUAGCUGGUUCUCUCCGAAAUAGCUUUAGGGCUAGCCUCGGAGUUAAGAAUCGUGGAGGUAGAGCACUGUUUGGACUAGGGGCCCGUCUUGGGUUACUGAAUUCAGAUAAACUCCGAAUGCCACAGAUUUAUAUCCGGGAGUCAGACUGCGAGUGAUAAGAUCCGUAGUCGAAAGGGAAACAGCCCAGACCACCGAUUAAGGUCCCAAAAUAUGUGUUAAGUGGAAAAGGAUGUGGAAUUGCAUAGACAACUAGGAUGUUGGCUUAGAAGCAGCCACCAUUUAAAGAGUGCGUAAUAGCUCACUAGUCGAGUGAUCCUGCGCCGAAAAUGUAACGGGGCUAAACACAUUACCGAAAUCGUGGAUGUACCGUAAGGUACAUGGUAGGAGAGCGUUCUAAGGACGGCGAAGCUAGACCGUAAGGACUGGUGGAGUGCUUAGAAGUGAGAAUGCCGGUAUGAGUAGCGAAAGAUCAGUGAGAAUCUGGUCCACCGUAUGACUAAGGUUUCCUGGGGAAGGCUCGUCCUCCCAGGGUUAGUCGGGACCUAAGCCGAGGCCGAGAGGCGUAGGCGAUGGAUAACAGGUUGAGAUUCCUGUACUGGUUAAACUUGUUUGAACAAUGGAGGGACGCAGGAGGCUAUCGAUGCGUACUGUUGGAUAUGUACGUUCAAGCAAUAAGUCUGUAGAUGAGUCAAAUGCUUAUCUACUUAAGGACAAGUUGUGAUGAGGAGCGAAAUUUAGUAGCGAAGUGAGAGACGUCACACUGCCAAGAAAAGCUUCUAGUUAGAGUUUAAUCACCCGUACCGCAAACCGACACAGGUAGUCGAGGCGAGUAGCCUAAGGUGAGCGAGAGAACUCUCGUUAAGGAACUCGGCAAAAUGACCCCGUAACUUCGGGAGAAGGGGUGCUGAGCGCAAGCUCAGCCGCAGUGAAUAGGCCCAGGCGACUGUUUAUCAAAAACACAGGUUUCUGCAAAAUCGUAAGAUGAAGUAUAGGGGCUGACGCCUGCCCGGUGCUGGAAGGUUAAGAGGAUGGGUUAGCGUAAGCGAAGCUCAGAAUUGAAGCCCCAGUAAACGGCGGCCGUAACUAUAACGGUCCUAAGGUAGCGAAAUUCCUUGUCGGGUAAGUUCCGACCCGCACGAAAGGCGUAACGAUCUGGGCACUGUCUCAACGAGAGACUCGGUGAAAUUAUAAUACCCGUGAAGAUGCGGGUUACCCGCGACAGGACGGAAAGACCCCAUGGAGCUUUACUGUAGCUUGAUAUUGGGUGUUUGUACAACUUGUACAGGAUAGGUAGGAGCCGUAGAAGUCGGAACGCUAGUUUCGAUGGAGGCAUUGGUGGGAUACUACCCUCGUUGUAUGAACACUCUAACCCUCGCCGGCAAUCACGGCGGGAGACAGUGUCAGGUGGGCAGUUUGACUGGGGCGGUCGCCUCCUAAAAGGUAACGGAGGCGCCCAAAGGU